GCCAGAGGAGAAGCUCACGGUGGGUCCCUGAGAUGGACCAGAUACCUUUGCAUCCCUUGAGGCUUGUGGGGACGUGCUUGAGAAGGGUUCAUUCUGCCUUUGCUGGGUACAGCGUUCCACACGGAUCCCCCGGAUCGACUUUGUUGUGCGUUUCUUCACGUUUUCUCUGUCUUUGCUGCUGUUUCUUGCUUCUCCUCUUAGUUGCUGAGCCACGUAUUGAAAUACCCCAGGUGAGUGUAUACAAUACAGUGAUUCAACAAUUCUGUAUAUGACUCAGUGCUAAUCAAGUAAAAGGAAGCUGUCCAUUUCACUCAAGAACGUCCUUCGUGAGGCAGGAGAAGCUACUUGUUUAAUGUGGUCUUGAUCCUUGCGUACACAUCGUGUGAAUACUCCGUGUGACCGACCGGGAAGUGUGCACCGUGGACGCUCUUACUGCUCACUGAACACAACGGUGCUUGGCUUGCGAGCCAAACUGGUCCCUGUUUUCACCGAGCACUGUCUUUCCUUGAAAGAACAGCUGCCAGACAAAUUAUGAUUCAUUGAAACUUGGGUGCUUGGCGGACACGUUCUCAAAAAUGAAAUCACUUCAAGGAAAACAACUGACAAUACGAAUUGUAAUCAUAUUGAUAAACUUGGAACUUUCAGAUGAAAGUUAGACUCUUGUCACACUCGCACCCGCUACCAGGAGCUUGCCCGUGUGUGGGCACUGGAAGACGUCCCUGGUGGUGUGAAUGGCGACACUAACACACGUGACUUCCUGAAACCUGUCGACGUGAGGAAGAUCUGCCUGGCUCAGCAAAGUGACAUUUCCAAACGGUGCAGAGUCACAUUUUCUACUUCCUGACAUGAAAUAGGGGGAAUCUUCCUUUCUAGGAAGAAAGAAAAGAAAAGAAAGAAAAAGGAAGGAAGGAAGAAAAGAAAAAGAAAAAGGA